GGGGAAUGCCCACACCAUUGCUGUCCCAGUGGUUGUACAAUGGGGCAUCUAGCUGGCUACAAACUGUCCAGCUCUAUUUUAUUGCCUUAGAAGAACUUCAGAGGAAAGAAGCCACGUAAAAAUUAAAUAAGGUUGGAACAGAUUUUAAAGUUUUUAUUAUUUUAUAUCAUGCCAUGCCUUGCAUGGAAUGACCACAAAGCACUCUGCCUUCCUGGCCACAUAAUUUACUAACAGGGCUCAGUGGAGAAAGCUAGGACUCUCAGAUGCACUGUCUAGUCUCCUGGAAAGAGGGAAAGAAGGGGUGGCAGGACGGAGCAGCGAAAAAUACUUACUUGUCUCUUUUUUGACAAGUCAGUGGUUGCUUAUUCUAAGAAGGAUGAUUAUAUGACUUAAUACAAUUUCUGGUCAUUGUCAUUAUAAUAAAGGAAAAAGGCUUUCUUAGAAGUGCUUGAGCUAAUCAAUAAAUAUUUGAUCCACUUUUAAACAAGGUUUUUAUGGCCAAAAUAAGUUGAAAGAAAAGAUACUGACAAGCACUAUUUCCAUACCUUCGUCUCAAGUCAACCACAGAAAGAAUAAGUGCAAAACGAAAUGAAGGAUGUCCCCUUCACCCAGAGAAGAAGCAAGCCUGGAGUCCUUCUUCCCAGGGAGGGGCCCAGGCCCCAGCCCAGUCAGAUCUGUGGGGCCGCGUGGCAGUCCAGAGCCCUGUCCUGCUCUUCCUGGGAAGGGGCCUGCUUCCCGGUGUUGCAGUCUGUGUCCGGGAUGAAUAGCCCAUGGAGAUCCAGGUGCAUCUCUACAUCAAUAGAUGCACGGGCUAAUUCUGUAAAACUUUUGGCAUCCAGAAUAAGUAGAAAAGGCAGCUUUUGGGGAUCAGUAGAGACGAUGGCUGAUAAGAUAAUCCCUUUGGGGAAACAAAGAGAGACACUUUGUAAAAGUGCACACUUGAACUUCCUCUAGCUGGAGGGCUAAGUCUCUCAGCUAUGUCUCCCUGUCCUCUUUAAGUAUGGAAUCAAAAUAAAAGGAAAACAAAUUUGAGAUUCUGUGCGAGAAGGGAGAGGCCAGGGAACUAGGAAUCAGAAGACUUGGUUCCAGCCCUGCCAGGGCCAGUCCCUCUGCCUCUCCCAACCUUAGUCUAUUCAUCUGCAGAGUAGGGAUUAUCCUCCCUACCCCCACAGGGUUACUGAGAGAAUCUCUUGCAUGGCAAACAAUGAAAGCUUUUUGGAAAGUAUUGCAUAUGUUGGAGAAUGGUUAUUUGGCUAUUAUUUAGAAAGUCUGAUUAUAGAGAAUCGGUUUAGAUGCUGUAUUUAGGCUAAUAUAUGGCACUUAACUAAACUCAGACUGGCUGCACUCAAUGGCAUUUGGAUGAGCCCAACUCACUUUAUGCACAUGCAGCACGCUAGUAGCCUCAGCCCUCCCCUCUAUAAAAUGGAUGUGUGUGUGUGUGUGCACGCGCGUGUAUAUGUAUUCUAAGGACUCACUCUCCAGGGAUAUAGGAUUAAAUGAAAUAAAUGCCCAUAAACUUCCUCCCAAGUCCUCCUGGGUCUCAGGGUGAUUGGCUUAGAUUAAAAUCCUAACUCUGUAGGCACGGUGUGUGUGGCCUUGUAAGUGACAUCAUUCCCUCAGCCUCUCCUUUGGUGAAGACAUUGCUACUCCCUGCCCACAAGAGAAUGUAGGGGAAGCCCUGGUCCAGCCCAGUGGGAGGCCAGCUUCAGCAGGAGGUGCUUCCCCCCCAUCCCCUACCUCUGAGGUGACAGUAAUGUGGGGUCCCCCGCUUGGUGUGCCAUACCAUGCCACACGUGGCCAGUAGGUAGACAGGACCCAGGCAGAAAACCACUCCUCACCGAGGGAAGCAGCUAGCAAGCUCAGUGGGGCAGCCCCACCCAUGGUUCUAGUUGCCCUCCUUAGCAUCCCCAGGAGUAUAUGCAUUUACAGGUGCUCCAUGUAGAAGACACAUGCUUAGAGAUAGUUAAGAAUUCUCUCCCAGCCAUUGCAAUGAAUUUUUUUUUUCAUUGCAAUGAAUUUUAAAGUGGAAAGGAACUGGGCUUUUGUGUAGUGAAUAAUUUAAUGUCUCCCAAAGGGAGGUCUGAGCUUUGCUCCUGGGAAGUGACCUCUAAGCCCCUGUACUGUCCUCCCUCAUAAGAGUGUCUUUAUUUACCUGGGGCCAGCCUGAUAAUCUGUCCUCACAAAGUGAUUUAGAUGUCAGCUUGACCUCCAGAGUGGCUGAAGGCUGAAGGUCAGCCACAUGGCCAACCAACCAUGUCUACAUGACCAAGCCCCUAAAAAGCUCUGCCUUUCUGGCUUGGAGGAACUUCCUUGGUUGGUGAUACCGCAUGGAUAUUGUUGAAGGAGUUGGGGUGGGCCAUGACCUCCAGGGACAACCAGAUACUCCAUGCACACAAUUCUCCUGGAUUCUGUCCCAUGAGCAUCUUUUCUUUCAAUCUGCAUCCUUUCACUCGAUAAACCGUAACCAUGAGUAACAGUAGUUUUUAGUGUGUUCUGUGCAUCCCUCUGUCGAAACCCAGGGUGGUCUUGGGGCUGCUCAACUUGUAGUUGGUGUCAGAAGUGAGGGUGCUUCGAGGGACUCCUUAACCUCACAGCUUUGGACUCGGACAGACCUGGGUUUCAAAGCCUGGUUCCACCAGCUAUGUGCUGUGGGGGUCGUGGAGGGAGGUCACUGCCCUCCAAAUGAUGUCUCUGUUUGAGGGGUGAUUGCAAGUAGAGCGCAGCAGGCAGGCUCCCUUUCCUGGAGUCUUACCAUCAUCCUCGUCCUUGGCACCCGGUGUGGGUACAAACAGGGGUUCUGCUGGCCAGCAGUGUUCCUGUCCCCAUUUUAAGGAUGACUUUGUGAGAACAUCAUAUUUCAGUAUCUAUACAUCCAAAGAGGAGAGACACAUGAGUGACCUGUUGGGAAGCAGGCUCAUUCCCUGGGAACAGAUGACAUCAAUGCCCACAAACAGGAUUAAGCCCCUCCAGUGUAGACUCCAAGUGACAUCUACUUAGGAUCAGCGGCAGAAAUGAAAGCAGCUAGCUUCUUCCUCCUCCAUCUUUAAGCAAAGGUCCUCCUGCCCAUCCCCCCCCCACAUAACUGACACUACAUACUGGAGUUUUAAAAAUAAAAAUCCUGAAUUUAUCUAGUAAUUGGAGCUACGUUGCAAUUUUUAUAUGUGUUAAAUAAACUAAUGUAUUUGAUGCAAACAUUUAAAGUGUAAUACUAUCCUUUUGUUGUUUUAAAAGUGCAAGUCCCUGGAUUUCUCUUAAUCCUUAAUAGACCUGUUUCCCCUUAGGAUGUGAGAUUAGUGGGGAGUGGCUUGGGUGUGUGUGUGUGUGUGCCUGUAUUUAUGUGUGUGUGUGAACCUUAAUUUUUUGCUUUGUACAUUUCUGCACUGCUUGCAUUUUUGAGAAAAGAUAUUCCAUUUAUUAUUAAAAAUGAAAACAUUAAAGACAAGUGAUGUCUGUAUACUCAGGAUAGUCCCUGGGAUACAGUAAGUGUCCAACAAAUAGUAACAAGUAACAAAAUAAAUGCUUCAAGUUUCAGCCCUCUGCUUGAAAGGGUGAGUUCCUUCAGGGCAGGGACUGGGAUCACUCUGUUCACUUCCUAGCCUCACUGCUGCCAUGUUGUAGCACAUGGUCGGUGCUCAAUAAAAUGUAUUGAAUAAAGAAAUCAAUGGAUAAACUACAGCUGUGACUUCUUUGCUGAGCUUCCGUCCAUCAGGUAUGGCUGCCUCUCUUGGAUGACUCAUCAUUGCUUCCAUUGUAUACUGUCCCAACUGGACUUCACUCUCUGAUAUGCUCCAAAGGGACCUCCCUUUUCUGAUCAAGGUCACCCAGUCUGAGAACCUAGGGUUCAGCUUUGCAGGCAGACACAGUCAUUGUAGGGAGCACCAGCCCAAGUCACAUAGGGAUUGGUACCUUGGUUGGGAUGGGACUCCACUGAACUUCAGCAGCAAAGAUAUAGCGGUAUCGCUUCCCAUUGUGAGCAUAAUUGAUCCGAGGCAGCUCUAAACCUGGAGAGAAUGACACCGCUGAUGAAGCCCCCGUCACUGAGGACUGGGAGCAUCCACCCUUCAUGCUAUGUUGGGCAUCCUGUCCACAAAAACUGCUCCCAAUCCAGGAUCCCUGAACUGGCUUCAGGCCCUGGAUUAGAUCAAGCACUGCCCAGGACUGCCACAAUAAGCAAGAAGUCUCUCCUCAGAUACAAAAAAGACCAUAAUGUUUUAAGCUUCCAUCUACCCACACAAUGUGCCAGCCAUGCAGGAAGCCCAGUUCACUCCCCGGAUGUACGCAGUUGACAUUUUGAGGAUAUCCAGCUUGAAAGGCUGCUCGAGGAAAAUGACGUAGUUCUCCGUGACUCCGAAGCUGUGAGAAAGGCAAGCCUCAGGAGCAGCACAGGACCUGGCUGUCCGCAGACAACGCCACCAUCACCUGCAGCUGAGCCUUUCAAACUGACCUGGCCACUAAGAAGAACCUUUGGAUGAGAGCUGACAACUAAACCAAUGAAGGGCUUGCUGCCUGGCUCACAUAGGGGCUCUGAGUGCUUCCCACCUAAGCCCUCCUGCUCUGUGAGACCUGGUGCUACGAUCUGAAAACACUGAGCCACAGAGCCAGGCCUCUGGGCUAGGGGUCUGUACCACAGCCUAGGGGCUGAAGCCAGCCUCCCCCUGCUUUUGCAUCAGGGUUUCUUUGGAAACAUAGCCAUACUCCUUCCUUUAUGCAGAGUCCAUGGCCACACUUGCUCUCAGGCUGCAGUGGCAUUGCUGAGUAGUUGCAACAGAGACCGCGUGUCUGCAAAGCCUCAGAUAUUUAUUCUUGGGCCCCUACAGAUAAAGCUUGUUAGCCCCUGUUCUGGAACAACACCUCUUUAUGGACACAAAUCAUUGGGGAUCAUGAUCAAAGUGUGAAGUUUGAUUCAGUAUGUGGGGCUAGGGCCUGAGGUCUUUCAUUUCUAUCAAGCACCCACAGGAUGGGCUGGCUUCACAGGCUUCGACUUUAAUAUUUUGCUGAGGACCACCAUUUAAGAUGUAUCUCAUAGGGUUUCCAUGAAUUUCUCUUCACUCUGACCAUUGUGAAACACCUGGGAGUGAGACUAAGUACCCAGUGUGAUAAGGGGCUAUUGUACAUCUUGUGACAAUCGAAGUAGACUGUAUGAUCCCCAUUUUACAGAUGGGAAACUGAGGCAUAAUGGAAUGGUCUAUCAUUAUGGCCAAAGGCAAAAGGUUAAGCCAAGAAGACAUGGCCCCCUUAGCCUGGCUACCUCCUCUGUUAUUAGGGAUAAUGACACAGAGUGGAGAGAGAACAGAAUGAAAUCAUGAAGUAGUCCAAGUAGCUCACCCAAGCAUCCAGACAGCAAAGGUGCUCGGUACAUGUUCGUGUUCUUAUUCCUCUGUAAGGAUGAGUCACUACGGGCCAAAAGGCCUCCCCACCCAGGCCUGGGGCUGGUUUAUAAUGAGUUAUCUGCAAGCGUCCCCACCUUUCUUGUGGCCACCUGUGCACACUGUAAACAGCUGGCUGGUGGGAGGGAUGCUGUGGGGCUUGGGGGUGGUUCUUUUAUUCACAAAACAAAUGGAGCACAAAGCAAACUGAAAUGAAAAGCACCCUGGCCUAGGAGGCAAGACACAGGCGUGAAUCCCAGGGAAGCCACUAGCAGAGAGCAGGUGCUCAGUGGGGAGCCGGUGGCAUGAUGUUGGUGGCUCCUGUGACCAGCAUGACCGUGAGCAUGUCACUUGAUCCCCUUGGGCCUCAUCAUCAUCCUUUUGUAAUAUGAGGUGACAAACUCAAAUGCCUAGACCAUCCCCAGGGCUGACAUUCUAGGAUCCUGGCUAGACCCUCUAUUCCUCCAUUAGCUUAAGUCAUGGGAUUCCAUUUAACAAGAAUACUCAUUGUGCCUUCUGACCUUACGGGCUCACCUCAGCCAACAGAGUCUAGUAAUUAGCUCAGGAGGUUCUCCAGGACAUGAGGGAAGGGGCCAGCAGGGUUCACAGAAGGAAGCCAAUUUCCCUAAACUGGCAGGUCAAGCCAAGCACCCUCAUAGUUCUUCCCUGUCUCCUAAGCCCUGUGCAACCACCCUCAGAGGCCUGGUCUCCUGGGCGUGCUUCCCAGGAGGGUCCUGGACAAAUAAGGGUCAGGAGCCUCCUCUUCUCAGGAAUAUGCAAUCACAACUGGCCUGGGAUUUUCUCCAGUUUCCUGGCCUUAAAAGGAGAAGGUACAGAAGGUCCUUAGAACAGAGUGGGGGGGGGGGGGGGCGGGGGGAGUGGUGUCUGAAAGGCUGAAGGUCUGAAGCAGGGCUGAGCUCCCAUAUCGACACUAGGAACCUGGGUUCAGGGGCUGGGAUGAAAGUGGGCAGCACAAAAAACAAAACAAAACAAAACAAAACAAACAAACAAACAAAAAAAAACAGAUGGAACGAUGAAUGGAAGGAAGGAUGGAUGGAAGGAAAGAUAUUUGAUAGGCAAGUGGAUGGAUGGGUGGACAAACUGAUGGUUGGACGGAUGAUGAAUGGAUAGGUGGAUGGAUGAUGGAUAGUUAGAUGGAUGAUGGGUGGAUAAACAGACGGAUGGACAGGUAGAUGGUGGAUGAAUAAUGGAUAAAUUAAUGAAUGAAUGAACUAGAGCCUAAAGAAAAUCAGGUUAGGAUAGUAAAAGAAUUCAUUCUUCAAAAGGAAGCCCAGCAACAUCUCUUUCCUCCUAAAGGAAAAAAGUAUGUUCAUGGUCAUUCUGAAUCACCCAUGAGGGAAAGUCUCAGAUUGUGUCUUACGUCAUCAAUAAAAAUCAGAAAUCUUUGGAGGGAGCCAC